rnacentral:lncRNA from 1 species
UUGAGAGAGGUCAGCGUGAGCCCCUUGCCUCACACCGGCCCCUCCCACGCUGAGAGAGGUCAGUGUGAGCCCUUGCCUCACACCGGCCCCUCCCACGCGGACAGAGGUCAGCGUGAGCCCCUUGCCUCACACCGGCCCCUCCCACGCUGAGAGAGGUCAGUGUGAGCCCUUGCCUCACCCCGGCCCCUCCCACGUGGACAGAGGUCAGCGUGAGCCCCUUGCCUCACACCGGCCCCUCCCACGCGGACAGAGGUCAGCCCGAGCUCCUUGCCUCACACCGGCCCCUCCCACGCUGAGAGAGGUCAGUGUGAGCCCUUGCCUCACACCGGCCCCUCCCACGCGGACAGAGGUCAGCGUGAGCCCCUUGCCUCACACCGGCCCCUCCCACGCUGAGAGAGGUCAGUGUGAGCCCUUGCCUCACACCGGCCCCUCCCACGCGGACAGAGGUCAGCGUGAGCCCCUUGCCUCACACCGGCCCCUCCCACGCUGAGAGAGGUCAGCCCGAGCCCCUUGCCUCACACCGGCCCCUCCCACGCUGAGAGAGGUCAGCCCGAGCCCCUUGCCUCACACCGGCCCCUCCCACGCUGAGAGAGGUGUGAGCCCCUUGUCUCACACCGGCCCCUCCCACGCGGACAGAGGUCAGCGUGAGCCCCUUGCCUCACACCGGCCCCUCCCACGCUGAGAGAGGUCAGUGUGAGCCCUUGCCUCACACCGGCCCCUCCCACGCGGACAGAGGUCAGCGUGAGCCCCUUGCCUCACACCGGCCCCUCCCACGCUGAGAGAGGUCGGUGUGAGCCCUUGCCUCACACCGGCCCCUCCCACGCGGACAGAGGUCAGCGUGAGCCCCUUGCCUCACCCCGGCCCCUCCCACGCUGAGAGAGGUCAGUGUGAGCCCUUGCCUCACACCGGCCCCUCCCACGCGGACAGAGGUCAGCGUGAGCCCCUUGCCUCACCCCGGCCCCUCCCACGCUGAGAGAGGUCAGUGUGAGCCCUUGCCUCACACCGGCCCCUCCCACGCGGACAGAGGUC